rnacentral:lncRNA from 1 species
GGAGGAGGAGGAGGCCUAGGUGUCAUCUUCUAUUCACACAGUAAAAAAAAAGGCCAUCAAUCCAACUCAAGGAAACCAAGAUAAAUACCUAUAUGGGGCUAAGAACAAACAAAUACAAGCAAUGCACACUCACAACCUACAAGUUCUUUAAGGAAGAAACUACUCUUAUACCAUAAAUGUGACAUCCCAAAUAUAUAAUACUACAAAUCAUAUAAUAUAGGAGUCAUCAUCAUAAUUAGAGAGAACAGUUAGAAUUAGACCUCCAAAUAGGUCUCAGGUUUAUAGUCAUCCAAGAGAUCAUUAGAAUUUAAAACUUUAAAGACAAAGAAUUACUUCAAAAUGAAAUAAAUU